rnacentral:tRNA from 1 species
UGGGGCGUCGCCAAGAGGCCUAAGGCAACGGGUUUUGAUCCCGUCAUUCGGAGGUUCGAAUCCUCCCGCCCCAGCCA